GGGGAUUUAGCUCAGAGGUAGAGCGCUUGCCUAGCAAGCGCAAGGCCCUGGGUUCGAUUCCCAGCUCCG
rnacentral:tRNA from 1 species